GCGGGUGUGUUGUAGUGGUAACAAACAAGGUCCCCAACUUUGGAUCGCGGGUUCGAUUCCCGCCACCCGCU
rnacentral:tRNA from 1 species